GGAGAGGUGACCGAGAGGCCGAAGGUGCAUGACUGGAAAUCAUGUGUGGUGUUAAAGCCACCGAGGGUUCGAAUCCCUCCUUCUCCGCCA
rnacentral:tRNA from 1 species